rnacentral:rRNA from 1 species
UACGUAGGGUGCGAGCGUUGUCCGGAAUUAUUGGGCGUAAAGAGCUUGUAGGCGGUUUGUCGCGUCUGCUGUGAAAAUCCGGGGCUCAACCCCGGACUUGCAGUGGGUACGGGCAGACUAGAGUGUGGUAGGGGAGACUGGAAUUCCUGGUGUAGCGGUGAAAUGCGCAGAUAUCAGGAGGAACACCGAUGGCGAAGGCAGGCCUCUGGGCCGACUACUGACGCUGAGAAGCGAAAGCAUGGGGAGCGAACAGG